GAUGAACGCUGGCGGCGUGCUUAACACAUGCAAGUCGAACGGAAAGGCCUCAGCUUGCUGGGGUACUCGAGUGGCGAACGGGUGAGUAACACGUGGGUGAUCUGCCCUGCACUUUGGGAUAAGCCCGGGAAACUGGUCUAAUACCGAAUAUGACCACUUCUUGGAUGUUGUGGUGGAAAGCUUUUGCGGUGUGGGAUGAGCCUGCGGCCUAUCAGCUUGUUGGUGGGGUGAUGGCCUACCAAGGCGGCGACGGGUAUCCGGCCUGAGAGGGUGUACGGACACAUUGGGACUGAGAUACGGCCCAGACUCCUACGGGAGGCAGCAGUGGGGAGUAUUGCACAAUGGGCGCAAGCCUGAUGCAGCGACGCCGCGUGGGGGAUGAAGGCCUUCGGGUUGUAAACUCCUUUCGCUAUCGACGAAGCCACUUGUGGUGACGGUAGGUAGAUAAGAAGCACCGGCUAACUACGUGCCAGCCGCCGCCGUAA
rnacentral:rRNA from 1 species